rnacentral:lncRNA from 1 species
GCUGGAGGAGUGGAAUUAGCUAGUCCUGUGAGGGCAGUCUCUCAAGGAUCAAGGCCCCAGAUGCCAGAGCAUCAAGAAUAUGGAAAAUCAGAGAACAUGAUCAAUAUACCAGCUCAUCCCUGGAUGAAGCUCCCUGCCCUUCCUCAUAGAGACAAAAAAGUGCAAUCCUCAAUUUUCCAGCCUACCUUGUAGCUGGGAGCUAUAAAAUGAAGUUCAUCAGGCAUGAGCGGUCUGCUGGUACUGCUUCUUCCCGCUUCCCCUUCUUCUUGCUUUGGGAUGGGAUGCGAUGUUUGCUGCUGUAACAGCCAUU